CCCGCCCCACCAGGGGCCCCAUCAGUCUUUUUCUAAGUUUGUGAUAAGUUUAUGUUCUCAACAUUUACUUCGACCUAAUAGCAAAAUUUCUUCCUUCCUCCCUCCCUUCCCUCCUUCCUGUCCCAUCUAUUUGUUUAAUAUCCAAGUAAUGUAUAAUAAAAACGAUUUUUUCUCUGAGCCUCUCAACCCAUCUUGGACACAGUGACGAGAUGACUAGCAGAGGUGGAGUUAAGGACCGUGAGGCAUGGGGGAGCUUAGGAAUGCUGUAAGUGGCAGGGAUGGUCAUGAUCGUGGCGUGGGUGGUGAUGGAGUUAGAGUGAGAAGCUAGAAUACGUGGAGCACAUAACCAGGUUAAAAAAAAAAGGCGGUUUUUAUUUUGACCUUUUUGCAUCAAAUUAACUAGAAAUAAUUCAUUACUGUGGUGGGCCUAUUGCAUUAAUAACCCCAACUCUUCUCCCCUCCCUUUAUUCAUGGUGUUCUUCGUGUGCCCUUGUCGUGCCUUCCCCCUUUCUUUUGGCCGAGCCCUGUGACUGAUGUUGGCCAACGUAGUAUUAGCAAACUUGACAAAGAAGCUUCUUGAGUAUGCCCUUUACUCUUUCUGCUUGCUUGUUUUGGUUCCUGUUUUUUUGUUUCUUUUAAGUAGUCUUUAUUUUUUAGAGCAGUUUUAGGUUCACAGCAAAAUUGAGUGGGAGGUUCUCAUAUACCCCCUACCCCACCACACACACAACCUCCUGCACUAUCAAUGUCCCAAAUCAGAAUGGCACAUUUACUACAACUGGUGAACCUACAGUGACACAUUAUUAUCAUCCAAGGUCCAUAGUUUGCAUUUGGACUCCCUCUUGUUGGGCGUUCUGUAGCUUUUGGCAAAUAUGUGAUGUAUGUCUACCAUUAUAGUAUCAUACCGAAUAGUUUCACUGCCCUAAAAAUCCUCUGUGCUCUGCCUGUUCCUCCCUCCAUCCCUCCUAAUCCUGACAACCUCUGAUCUUUUUGCUGUCUCUAGAGUUUUGCCUUUUACAAAUAUCACAGAGUUGAAUCAUAUAGUGUGUGGCCUUUCCAGACUGGCUUCUUUCAUUUAGCAAUAUGCGUUUAAGGUCCCUAUAUAUCUUUUCAUUGCUCAAUAGCUCAUUUCUUUUCAGUGCUGUAUAAUAUUCCAUCGUGUGGCUAUACCAUGGUUUACUUAUCUACUCACCUCCUGGAGAACAUCUUGUUUCCAAAGGUUGGCAAUUAUGCAUAAAGCUGCUAUCCACAUCUGUGUGCAGGUUUUUGUGUAGACGUAAAUUUUCAGCUGAUUUGGGUAAAUACCAAGGAAUGUGGUUGCUGGAUUGCUUGGUUGGUAAGAGGAUGUUUAAUUUUGCCAGAAACUGCCAAACUGUCUUCCAAAGUGGUUGCAUUCCCACCAGCAACGUUGUGAGAGUUCCUGUUGCCCCACACCCUCCCCAGCAUUUGGUGCCGUCCGUGUUUUGGAUUUUGGCCAUCCCAACAGUUCUUUGACCCCACAACGUCUGCACUGGAUAAUUCGGGGCCAGGCCGGUGUUACCCCAGGGCCCAGCUACUCUGCAGACACCUGGCGGGGAAAUCCUGGGCCGACUCCUGGGGGUGUUCUCAUCUGCUGUUGGCUCCUGCCUCUGACCUUGCAAGACGCUCUGACCUUCACCUCUCCACGACUGAACAUUGUCCUGUAGGAGCCGGAGCCGACUGGCGAGAGGACGCUGGUCUCCGGCCACAGGUGGCGUCCACGUGGCCACCACGCCCGCGCUGUGUCUGAACCGCUGGGCAUCGCCACGCAGCCAUCGGUCCGGGCCAGGGUGGCCUCGCUUCCGCCGACCAUCUAGGAGAGACAGGUACCAGACGUCGUCUCUGUUGCCAAAGGGGCAAACGGCCCCACGGACUCCUUGCUGUGUGGAGCCGAGGGGCCUGGAGAACUGAGAUCCCAUCAGACACGACAUCCGCCUGAGCGCUUUUCCUUCGCGCUGGAGGCCUGUCGGGAUCGUGGCGGUGAGGUUUGUUAGACACCCGCUUUAAACACUCCUGAAUGAGACACUUUACCCAGGUUUGAAAACAAAAGACAGGGCAGUGUUCGUGCAAAGAUGUACAACAAGAAACACAUCGCCUGGAUGGGCUUGGGAGAGUGGAAACAGGAGGCAGAAAAAAAUUAUCCGUGGACUAAUCAGCAGCGAGCUAAUAUGUAGAUCUAUUUCUCCCACUAUGGAUUUAUUAUGGUUUCGUGCAUAUAUUGGCAGCUUCCUCAUGCAUAAUUAUCUCAGCUUAGCUUUGUGAACCAUAUCCAGCGGUUUUUACCGAGCCUGAGGAAUGUUAAUAAAAAGUUCUCCUAAGUAUGGUUAUGGCUUUCAUCCAAGAAAGACAUAUUUAAUCAGCUUAGAACUGAAAUGUAAGUUCCCCAAGGAAAAGGAUGUUUUGUCUCUUGUACCCACCGCUUUAUUCCGAACUGUUCAACAACGCCUGGCUGGUAAUAGGGGUUCAAUUGAUGUUCCUUGAAUGAGUGAAUGGAUGAUGGAUGAAUUAAUGAAUGAUUAAGCAGGACCAAGUAAAAAUCAAGAAUGGAAUUUCGGACCUCUAAGCCUAACUUUUCUCCCAGUGUAUUCUAAAGAAUGGGCCUUUCACACACGUGCCAGAUGAGAUGCUUUUAAGGUUCCUCAGCACUUAGAAUGCCCUCCUCGCUUGGCUUGUGAUUAGACCGUCCUUGGACCUGUUAGCUGUAACCAAUUUUUUUUUUUUUUUUGUCAGCUUCCUGCUCUUUCUUGCAUUUGUGCCUGUCCUCAGCAACGACCUCGUGUCCUAAUGUAGUGGCUGUUACCUGUACUUUGCCUGAAGAAGCCCCAAAAUAAACCAAGUGCUGAUUCCUUG